rnacentral:ncRNA from 1 species
GAGCGGGAGCUCGGGCGCACCGGGCUGAGAGGGCAGCAGAAGGCGUUGCCGACCGCAUGAACCUGACCGGGUAAUGCCGGCGGAGGGACUC